rnacentral:rRNA from 1 species
AUGGCGGAGGCCAUGGCCCUCUCCGCGGCGGGCGACUGCGUCGUGCCGCCGGUGACCCCGCCAUCCCCGCCCAAAGCCGAGCCGGAGGAACCGGCCUACCUCGAGCGCUACUCCUGGACCGGAGUAGUGCGCGAGUGGGUCAGCGCUCCGCCGAUCUGGCUCGGGGCGACGGCGAAGCAAGAGGCGGCCUACCUUGACCAAUGCGCCGCGUUCGGCUGGCCGAGGAGCACCGGGAGGGCGAGCGCCUGGAGAUGGUCGAGCGCAAAGCCGAAGAGGAGGCGCAGCAGGCCCAGGCAGCGGCGGCGCAGCCCGACAUCGCCGCCCUCUGGAACACGACGUUCCCCUGGGCCGGCCCUGCGCCGUUGCUGA